GUCGAUUUGGAGGUUGUGCCCUUGAGGCGUGGCUUCCGGAGCUAACGCGUUAAAUCGACCGCCUGGGGAGUACGGCCGCAAGGUUAAAACUCAAAUGAAUUGACGGGGGCCCGCACAAGCGGUGGAGCAUGUGGUUUAAUUCGAUGCAACGCGAAGAACCUUACCUACUCUUGACAUCCAGAGAAUUUGGCAGAGAUGCCUAAGUGCCUUCGGGAACUCUGAGACAGGUGCUGCAUGGCUGUCGUCAGCUCGUGUUGUGAAAU
rnacentral:ncRNA from 1 species